rnacentral:rRNA from 1 species
UGGUCUCUCUUAUGUCUGCACAUGCAGGCCGAACGGCAGCACGGCUGCUUGCAUCUGCCGGCUAGUGGCAGGACGGAUGACUAAUCGCAUGCGUAACAUGUCCUUUAAGUAGGGGGAUAACGCAUAUGAAUGAUGUGCUAAUACCGCAUAAUCUGUGGAUUAGAAAAGCAGGGGAUCGCAAGACCUUGCGCUUUUGGAGUGGCCGAUGCCUGAUUAGCUAGUUGGUGAGGUAAUGGCUCACCAAGGCGUCGAUUCAGUAGUUGGUCUGAGAGGACGACCAGCCACACUGGGACUGAGACACGGCCCAGACUCCUACGGGAGGCAGCAGUGGGGAAUUUUGGACAAUGGGGGAAAACCCUGAUCCAGCCAUGCCGCGUGAGUGAAGAAGGCCUUCGGGUUGUAAAGCUCUUUCAAAGCUCUUUCAAGUCGAGAAGAAAAAAUUGCGACUAAUAAUCGUAAUUUAUGACGGUAUCGACAGAAAGAAGCACCGCUAACUACGUGCCACAGGCCGCGGUAAUACGUAGGGUGCCAGCGUUAAUCGGAAUUACUGGGCGUAAAGGUCCCAAGCCGCUUUUUAAGUAAAUUGUAAAUCCCGGCUUAACUGGAACUGGUUU